rnacentral:tRNA from 1 species
GAAAAACGUUAUAAUUUUUUGAAGAAAGUUGCUGAAUUAGCAAGUCAACAUUUUAUCG